ACGGCCACACCACAUUGAAAACACCGGUUCUCGUCUGAUCACCGAAGUUAAGCAAUGUCGGGCCCGGUCAGUACUUGGGAGGGUGACCACCGGGUGCUGUAGUUU